UACGUAGGAGGCAAGCGUUGUCCGGAAUUACUGGGUGUAAAGCGCGUGUAGGCGGCAGGCCAAGUCUGUGGUGAAAUCGCUCGGCUCAACUGGGCGGGGUCCAUGGAAACUGGUCAGCUGGAGGACGGUAGAGGUGAGUGGAAUUCCCGGUGUAGAGGUGAAAUUCGUAGAUAUUCGCAAGAACACCAGUGGCGAAGGCGGCUCACUGGCCCAUACUGACGCUGAGGCAGAAGCAUGGGAGGCAACAGGAUAG
rnacentral:rRNA from 1 species